GUCAGGAUAUCCCCUUGAGCAGGGACACCUCUCAAGGUUACUCUUGGUCGUCAAGAGAUUCCUUACCUGCGGCAGAUCCUUGUCAGAUAUUCCAGGGGCCCUCCUUUCUCUACAGCGGUCAAACGCAAAAUGAACACUUACAGCGCUACCAGAAUGAGACAAAGAGGAUCAGCCAAGGAAUACAGGAGCAAGCAGAAGUUGAAAGACACAAACAGCAACUCUGAGAACCAUUUUCAAGUAUCUAUGCAACAGCAGAUGUACAUAUUCUGGACAACCUCCUUCACUAUUUUAUUGGAGCAAAUAUGGAACAACGCCACAAACGUUAAAGCACCAGCAAAAUCUGAGACUAAAACUGUGAAGAUUUAUGAAGUGCAUUUCUUCUGCUUAGAGAACCAGAAGCUAAGUCUCCUUACUGUCAUAGUCCUAUCAUAUGCAUUUAUGAGAUUUGAUAAUAAAACACCUGUAAUCUGAAAAUCAAAUAGGUUUCAUUACUGACACAGAUGCUCUUUUGGCUAUGGAGUGUGCAAGAUUUAAGGCAACUAUGUCUUUAGAAGUAAGCACAAUAGAUCUGGUAUUAUCUGGGAAAACUCCAGUUAAAUCUUAGGUAUCAAAACCUCUGCAUAUGUGAAGUACAGGAGGAAUGGGAUGCUGUCCUUCUUUAGCACAGAUAUAUUUUUGGAAUCAGCUUAUAUUUGAAGAGCAGAUGUCUUUAUUUCCUCUUACUUUCAGUCCUGCGUUUUUAUUCCUGUCACGCAGCUGCAGUUUCUAAUUUAUUUCUUGUACCUGAUCUUAAGCAGAUUUUUAGAGCAUCCUAGGGUCAUCGUUAUAUUAACAAAAUUUCUGCAAACGCUCCCAGCAGCAAAGACUGAACUGGCCGUGCCUUUUUCCUGUAAGGAGAAACUAAAAGAAAGGGGACUCUAAGCAGGCUGCAGUUGAUUUUGCUUUCCAAAAUGAGGCUGAGAAGAGAUAUGACUGCUUCCUAUGAAUAACUCACUACAUAAACAACACGGAGAGACAGAGAGUGUGUAAAACCAGAUAAAUACAUGAGAAAUAGUUAUAAACUGCUCAUUAUUACAUUUAGGGUGGAAAUUAGAAAAGUUUAAAUAAUUCAAUAUGUGAAACACUGUAUUUAAGCUUCCACAACAGAUUCAUAGGGAUAUUGAGGGGCAAAAAAAUAACCAGCCUAGGUAUGAAUUCUGACAAAUUGAAUCAACAGGAUAUUGUGGUAAUGUUGCACCCAAUGAACGGGAUUUAACCUGGUAACUUAGAAGAUCCCUUUUAGUCCUAUAUCUUACAUUUCUCAUUUAGGAUUUUGUCCAUGAUUGAUUCAGCUAUUGAAAUGGACCCUUGUCUUCCUAAAAAAUGCUCUGAAAGUCUUCUAUGGUAAACAAAUAUAAUUCUCUCAGAGUUAGGCUAUAUUGAAAAUCUUUUCCAAAAAUUCAGCAUUCUCUUUAAGCCCACAACUCAACCAGUGACAUAAGCAGUUAGAAUAGUCUUCUUAUAAUCUUAUGAUAGGAAUUGAUAUAAUUAAUAGAGAAGUUGUACAUGGAAAACUUAUAGUCUGAUGAAUAAUA